rnacentral:tRNA from 1 species
GGAGAAAUGGCUGAGUGGUUUAAAGCGGUAGAUUGCUAAUCUGCUGUACAAUUUUUUGUACCGAGGGUUCAAAUCCCUCUUUCUCCU